UCGAGUUUACAACUCCUUUACCCCUAUGUGAACAUACCUAUCGUUGCUUCGGCGGGAUCGCCCCGGCACGCUCCUCCGGGGGCCGGCCCGGAUCCAGGCGCCCGCCGGAGGUCCAAAACUCUGUAUUUUAUACGGUGUCUAUUCUGAGUGGCGAAAGCAAAAAAAAAUAAAUCA
rnacentral:misc_RNA from 1 species